rnacentral:rRNA from 1 species
GAGCCGGCGACACCUUCACUGAGUUUCUGAUCUAUCAUGCUGACGACGGUUGGUGCUAUGCCAACCGUGGCGUUAACGGAUAACAGAGAAUCUGGGUUCGAUUCUGGAGAGGCCGCAUGAGAAACGGCGACCACUUCUAAGGAAGGCAGCAGGCACGCAAAUUACCCACUUCGGACACCGAGAGGUAGUGACGAACAAUACCGAUGCGGCGCGCAAAUGCGUCGCCGUAAUCGGAAUGAGUACACUUCAAAUCCUUUAACGAGGAUCCACUGGAGGGCAAGCCUGGUGCCAGCAGCCGCGGUAAUUCCAGCUCCAGCAGCGUAUAUUUAUAUUGCUGCGUUUAAAAAGCUCGUAGUUGAAGCGUCAGACGCGGGAGGGCGGACGGCCGCACUGGUCGCUCUCGCCCGACCGAGCCAGGCGCAGAGGGCGCGCGUCGCUUGCACUUUACCGUGUGAGCGCGCCGCCGCUGCACGUUCACCUUGAAGAAAUUGAACCGCUUAGAGGGGGCGAGCAGCUUGAACAGCUCAGCAUGGUAUGAUGGAACAUGGGCUCGUACUCAUUUUGUUGGUUAGAGAGUCGGCGAGCCAAUGAUUAACAGGGACUGCCGGGGGCAUUCGUACUCGGACGGGAGAGGUGAAAUUCAAGGAUCGUCCGAAGACGCCCUACUGCGAAAGCAUUUGCCAAGAAUGUUUUCAUUAAUCAAGAACGAAAGUCAGAGGUGCGAAGGCGAUCAGAUACCGCCGUAGUUCUGACCGUAAACGAUGCCGACUGGCAAUUGGGCGCACUUCUAUAGAAGUUGCCGCCAGCAGUAUUGCCCGGGAAACCAAAGUCAUUGGGUUCCGGGGGGAGUAUGGUUGCAAAGCUGAAACUUAAAGGAAUUGACGGAAGGGCACCACCAGGAGUGGAGCCUGCGGCUUAAUUUGACUCAACACGGGAAACCUCACCCGGCCCGAACACUGUUAUGACAGACAGGUUGAGAGCUCUUUCUCGAUUCAGUGGUUGGUGGUGCAUGGCCGUUCUUAGUUCGUGGAGCGAUCUGUCUGGUUAAUUCCGAUAACGAACGAGACUCUUGCCUGCUAAAUAGACGGCGUCGACCUCGUCGGCGGCCGUUCGCUUCUUAGAGGGACAAGCGGCUUUUAGCCGCGUGAAGCCGAGAGCAAUAACAGGUCAGUGAUGCCCUCAGAUGUUCGGGGCCGCACGCGCGCUACACUGUUUGCAUCAGCGUGUUUCUCCCGCGCCGGCUGGCGUGGGCAACCCGUUGAACCGCAAACGUGCUAGGGAUCGGAGAUUGCAAUUGUUCUCCGUGAACGAGGAAUUCCUUGUACUGGCGAGUCAUCAGCUCGCGGGGAAUCUGUCCCUGCCCUUUGUACACACCGCCCGUCGCUACUACCGAUUGAGUGGUUUAGUGAGGCUCACGGACUG